AUUGAACGAUGGCGGCAGGCCUAACACAUGCAAGUCGAACGAGUGGCGGACGGGAGUGACAUGUCUGGGAAACUGCCUGAUGGAGGGGGAUAACUAAUGGACACGGUAGCUAAUACCGCAUACAACCGGCUGUGCCCAGAUGGGCGUAGCUAGUAGGUGGGGUAAAGUCUCACCUAGGCGACGAUCCCUAGCUGGUCUGAGAGGAUGACCAGCCACACUGGAACUGAGACACGGUCCAGACUCCUACGGGAGGCAGCAGUGGGGAAUAUUGCAAAAUGGGCGCAAGCCUGAUACAGCCAUGCCGCGUGUAUGAAGAAGGCCGUCGGGUUGUAAAGUACUUUCAGCGGGGAGGCGUUACCCGCAGAAGAAGCACCGGCUAACUCCGUGCCAGCAGCCGCGGUAAUUC
rnacentral:rRNA from 1 species